rnacentral:rRNA from 1 species
GACGAACGCUGGCGGCGUGCUUAACACAUGCAAGUCGAACGGAAAGGCCCUGCUUUUGUGGGGUGCUCGAGUGGCGAACGGGUGAGUAACACGUGAGUAACCUGCCCUUGACUUUGGGAUAACUUCAGGAAACUGGGGCUAAUACCGGAUAGGAGCUCCUGCUGCAUGGUGGGGGUUGGAAAGUUUCGGCGGUUGGGGAUGGACUCGCGGCUUAUCAGCUUGUUGGUGGGGUAGUGGCUUACCAAGGCUUUGACGGGUAGCCGGCCUGAGAGGGUGACCGGCCACAUGGGGACUGGGUUACGGCCCAGACCCCUACGGGGGGCAGCAGUGGGGAAUUUUGCACAAUGGGCGGAAGCCUGAUGCAGCAACCCCGCGUGCGGGAUGACGGCCUUCGGGUUGUAAACCGCUUUCGCCUGUGACGAAGCGUGAGUGACGGUAAUGGGUAAAGAAGCCCCGGCUAACUACGU